UACUGUCAAAGGCAAACUUCACCGAAAGGGAAGGACGCAAAGCCAUGAGUCUAAACACUAUUUUAGUGCAUGAUUGUCAGGUUGCCAGG
rnacentral:ncRNA from 1 species